CUUUUAAAAUUUUCGGAAAAUUAAUUAUGAUUUCAAGUUAAUAUGAACAGUUGAUCUUUUUUUUAAAACAAUUGAGUUUAAUAGAAACAACUUACCAAUAAUUGCUAAUUCAUAAUUAAACUUUUAAGGAUCAAAGCAUAGGAUUGUAUUUUGUAAACCAUAACCAUGUUUUACAUCGAGGUGAUAUCUGCAUCUCCUAUUAAAGAAACAUAUUUAGGAAAAAGAUCUACGAACGAGUGUCAACAACUCAUUUUGAACCGUCACAUUCAAGAUAGGGCCUGAUUCAUUUACCAAUGGAAAAGAUUUGAUUCAAGUUCACAAAAUUUCCAUGUUGAAUAUCCUGAAUUGGCUGAUUCCAUUGAAGUCCAUUAAAAUUAUAAAUUGAGGAGAAAAUUAAUCAAGAGAAAACAAAGAUAAUUCCAAUGAGCUUGGCAAAUGAAGUCUGUUCUAGAAGAUAUCAAGAGAGGAGGUAAACAUCCGCAAAUACAACUGCAUGCAUUGCUACAAGAAAUGCAAAAAAUUUUUAACUCAGCUUCAUCCUGGAAACAAAGAGACCACUAAAUUGAAUUGUUUAAUGAAUCAAACUCAAUUAUCUUUUUUAUUAUACAAUUAAUUGAUUAUAUAACUUAUCUUGAGUUACACUUUUUGACUUCAUUGUUUGGCACUCAUUAUAAUCCACUUGAAAUUCUAU